rnacentral:rRNA from 1 species
GACGAACGCUGGCGGCGUGCUUAACACAUGCAAGUCGAGCGGAAAGGCCCUUCGGGGUACUCGAGCGGCGAACGGGUGAGUAACACGUGAGUAACCUGCCCCAGACUUUGGGAUAACCCCCGGAAACGGGGGCUAAUACCGGAUACGACACAGCUUCGCAUGGGGUCUGUGUGGAAAGUUUUUCGGUUUGGGAUGGGCUCGCGGCCUAUCAGCUUGUUGGUGGGGUGAUGGCCUACCAAGGCGACGACGGGUAGCCGGCCUGAGGGGGCGACCGGCCACACUGGGACUGAGACACGGCCCAGACUCCUACGGGAGGCAGCAGUGGGGAAUAUUGCACAAUGGGCGGAAGCCUGAUGCAGCGACGCCGCGUGAGGGAUGACGGCCUUCGGGUUGUAAACCUCUUUCAGCAGGGACGAAGCGUAAGUGACGGUACCUGCAGAAGAAGCGCCGGCCAACUACGUG